rnacentral:rRNA from 1 species
GAUGAACGCUAGCGACAGGCUUAACACAUGCAAGUCGAGGGGCAGCACAGGUAGCAAUACCGGGUGGCGACCGGCGCACGGGUGAGUAACGCGUAUGCAACUUACCUGUCAGAGGGGGAUAACCCGGCGAAAGUCGGACUAAUACCGCAUGAAGCAGGGGUCCCGCAUGGGGAUAUUUGCUAAAGAUUCAUCGCUGAUAGAUAGGCAUGCGUUCCAUUAGGCAGUUGGCGGGGUAACGGCCCACCAAACCGACGAUGGAUAGGGGUUCUGAGAGGAAGGUCCCCCACAUUGGUACUGAGACACGGACCAAACUCCUACGGGAGGCAGCAGUGAGGAAUAUUGGUCAAUGGCCGAGAGGCUGAACCAGCCAAGUCGCGUGAGGGAUGAAGGUUCUAUGGAUCGUAAACCUCUUUUAUAAGGGAAUAAAGUGCGGGACGUGUCCCGUUUUGUAUGUACCUUAUGAAUAAGGAUCGGCUAACUCCGUG